rnacentral:rRNA from 1 species
AACGAACGCUGGCGGCGUGGAUAAGACAUGCAAGUCGAACGCUGAUUCGAGGGUAGCAAUAUUCUCGGGUCGGAGUGGCGCAAGGGUGCGUAACACGUGGGCAAUCUACCGCGAAGACCGGAAUAACCUGCUGAAAGGCGGGCUAAUGCCGGAUGUGACUGUCUGGAGGAUUCUUUGGACACUCAAAGUUGGGGACCGUAAGGCCUGACACUUCGCGAUGAGCCCGCGGCCUAUCAGCUAGUUGGCGGGGUAACGGCCCACCAAGGCUAAGACGGGUAGCUGGUCUGAGAGGACGACCAGCCACACUGGAACUGAGACACGGUCCAGACACCUACGGGUGGCAGCAGUCGAGAAUUUUUCACAAUGGGCGAAAGCCUGAUGGAGCGACGCCGCGUGGGGGAUGAAGGGCUUCGGCUCGUAAACCCCUGUCAUUCGAGAACAAACCCUACGAUUUAAUAGAUCGUGGGCUGAUAGUAUCGGAAGAGGGAGGGACGGCUAACUCUGUGCCAGCAGCCGCAGUAAUAC